UGCCCGCCGGGCAGCCGCGCCGAGCCACCGCGCCGCAGCGCCUCCCGCCGGGCCACCAUGCGCCGCCGGGCCGCCGCGCCUCCCGCUGGGCCGCCACGCCACGCCGUGCCGAGCUGCCUGCUAGGCCCCGGAGGAGGAUAAUGGAAGAGGAACCGCCACAUCGAGCUGCCCGCUGGCUAGCCGCGCCGAGCCGUCAGGCCUCCCUCGGCGGCCUGGCCCGGCGGCCGGCCGGGCCCCCACGCUGCGCCGUGCCGAGCGGCCUGCCGGGCUGCGGAGGAGGAGAAUGGAAGACGAGGAGGCGCCGCGGAGAAACCGUCGCGUCGAGCCACCUGCCAGGCAGCCGCGCCGAGCCGCCAGAUCUCCCUCGGCGGCGCGGCCCGGUGGCGCGGCCGUGGUCUUGCACCGGCGGCGGCUGCCGUGCCUGGGCCGCUGCUCGCGCUCCAUCCCUCGGGCAGCUAGAAACGUAGUCUCCCUCGACCGGUCGACCCAUCACCGCUUCCCCGCCUUGCAGCCACACCUCCACGUGAUGGCCUGAUGGGCUCACCGGCGGCGCUCGUCCAAGCGGCAGCUGUGGCUUGGGUCCCUAGCACUGGUGCUCCUCCCGUCAUCCACCGUGCGCUCCGAGUAUGGGCGCCACGCCCUCCGCGCAGACAUUCCCGCUUCGCAAACUGCAGCCAGCCGCCUGCAAGCAAGUACCAAAGCGAAGGGAUCCCCGAGCAAGAAGGUGACCGGCUCUGGUGCUGUGCAGCUCCCCCGCGCCCUUGUGCAAUGUCCCAUGCAGCAGAGUCCGUCGGUUACUGCCCCAGGAGCUCCAGUGGCCAUUGACAUGACUGAUGUCCAGCAGCUGCUCGAGGAAAUGCCUCUAUGGUCAGUACAUUUCCAAAUUUCUUGGGUGAGUACUCAGCUGUUGUUGUUUGGAUUUUCCUCAUUGCAUGACACCUAAACUGAAUUGUUUGUUAACGCCUUAAUUGAUGCAAGGGAUUAGUAUACUUGUGGAAUCGAUUUGUGUCACUUGAUGGAUGAAAUUAAGCAUCAGUAAUGCUCAACAACAUAGCGGGCACCUCAUGGCACUUCCUAACUGCAACGGCUCUCAUUUUUCCCCCCUAAAGUACAUGCAUCUCGAUAGACAAUCUGUAGAUGAUCAGCCAAAUUAAUAAAAGUUGCCAAACUGUGAUGAUUGUUGGCCUUUCUCUCCAUUCAUUCCUCUCAUCCUUCCUCAACCCCACCCUGGAUAUGCUUUUCCUGUGUUACAGUUUAAGUAGAAGAGAAAGAAUCUCCUUACAUGCUCUUCUUCAUUUGCUUCCAUGCCCCUUGAUUACAAGUUGAAAAUUAAAAUGUCAAUGUAGCAUAUACAUUUUUUAUUAAGACUGAGUCCUGAGUGGAAAACACAACCCCUAAACUUAAUUGUGCAGGAACAAUGCAUAUUGUGCCAGAGCACUCAUUGAGGUUGCUCCUUAUGCUAAAAUAACUGAAAAUUGAUAAACAAAUUAUCUAAUUGUUUUGUCAGCAAUUACUUUACUUUUCAUCCAUUUCUUCAAUUUCCAGCACGUAAUCUUCUUGAUCUUGAGUAUAUUGUCUCUGGCCCCAACUUUGGCCUGCUCCUCAGUAGCCAGUUUAUUCAACAAAGCAAAAUAGUCGACGGAUUGUCCAACUAGCAUACGGGAUGGAUCUAAGGCCCACCUAUCAAUGAUAUAAGAUGGACCAAACCUAAAGCUUACUUGCUUUAGCAAUAGGUAGAAAAUAAAACAUGUACUUUAAGCUGUAUAGUAAGCUGUUCAGAGCAUCUUUAUUAAAAGUUUCUAUAUAUGGAUCAAUAUGUUUUCCAAUUCGCUUGACCACCAUGUGCUGUUGCAAUGUUUCAGAGGUACAAAUUUAUUUUCAAAUUCUGAAGCUUUUCGUUUCUGCAGAAUGGCUUCACCACUGGGAGCUCCGAUCCUGACGAUUCCAGCCACAAGAGGAUGGGGUUCAAGCAUUGAACUACAGUACAAACAAAAGUAUCCAAGAAAGAAUUUAUAUUGCUGCUAUCUAUAGCUUCCUCUGUAGCCAGUUUAUUCAACAAAGCAAAACAGUCAAUGCAGGUCACUAAGAUUUAAUUUGGUUCAAGUAUCACUAUAUUCAGAGUUAUGUAUAUUUCUGUAAUUUGAGCGCUGGCCUUCCAUCUCCGCCUGGCUCUCCUUUUUUUAAUCUCUACUUAUAUUCACUAAUGUUGCAAUUCACUUGCGGAGCUGUCGCUAUUUCUCAAUGCACGGUGUCACAGACGGCAGAUCACAGAGCACAGAUGGCAAAGACAGGACCUCUUAAGCCCCAACACAAUCUAUAUGUAAGCACGAAGAAUGUGCUGCAUCUAUACUACUAUAUCUAAUAAUUUAUGUAAUCUUUGAGUCUAA